ACUCUGAAAUGGGACAUUACAACAGGUCCUCCAGCAACUUGGUCUACCAAGAACAUUUUGUUAGGGACAUGUUCUUCCAGGGAAGUGAUGCCUCCUGUCGCCCAUGAAGGGGAGUGCUGUGAGGUGCCAGUGUUUGUGGCUGAGGGUGUGUUCCUCCAACAGCUCUCAGGGAUCAGACUACUCCCGUUGGCAGUUCUUAUUCUAGUAAUGCCCCUGCAGUGCCUGUAUACUGAGAAAAGAAGG